rnacentral:tRNA from 1 species
GGGCUCGUAGCUCAGCCUGGUAGAGCGUCGGCCUUUUAAGCCGGGUGUCGCGGGUUCGAAUCCCGUCGGGCCCA